CCCAUCUCUACUAAAAAUACAAAAAUUAGGCAGUGUGGGGGCACGAGCCUGUAGGCCCAGCUACUCAGGAGGCUGAGGCAGGAGAAUCACUUGAACUUGGGAGGUGGAGGUUGCAGUGAGCCGAGAUAUCGCGCCACUGCACUGCAGUCUGGGUGACAGAGGGAGACUCUUGUCUCAAGGAAAAAAAAAAGUGUUUUUCAAAAGCCUUUUAUAUUUUUUUUAUUUUUGAGACAGGGUCUCGCUUUGUUGCUCAGGCUGGAGUACGGUAUGGACACAAUCAUAGCUCACUGCAGGUUCAACCUCCAUGGGCUAAGGUGAUCAUGCCACCUCAGCCUCCCAGUAGCUGGGACCACAAGUGAGCACCACCCUACGCUUGGCUACUUUUUGCAUUUUUUUUGUAGAGAUGGGGCUUCACCAUAUUGUCCAAGCUGGUCUCGAACUCCUGAGCUCAAGCCAUCCGCCCACUUCAGCCUCCCAAAAUGCUGGGAUUACAGGUGUGAGCCACCACACCUGGCUGUAAGAGUCUGUUUCUUGAGGCAUUAUACAUUACCUUUUCCAGAUUUCAUGAGUAGAAGCUCUUUAUUGACUGACUACACAAAAAGGAAAGAUCUUGUUGCAGAACUAAAGUUUCAGCUCAUGCUGGGGAACAGCAGUGGUGAAUAAUUGUUUAAUUAAAGGGAUAGUAGGCAUAAGCAUUGCUAUUUACUUCUUCAUUCUGGCAACAGUAGUUCCUCUUUCAAAAGGGAAAACAUAAAAAAAAAAACCCAUCCGCCCAAAAGUUUCAGGGGCUAAUUUAUGAUGUAACUACCUUUAAUGGUUCCCAUGAUUUAAGAUCCAAUUCAGUAGUGACAACCAGUUGAUUUUUUUCAAAUCAUGUAGUGCCAUUAACAUUUUAUACUUUGUUUCAAAGGUCACAUAUUGAUGUUCUCCCCCAGUUCAAGGCACUGUGCAUUAUGUAUGCCAAGGGUUAUGUAACUACAAUUUCUGGAAAUGGUAAACAGCUGAGACUAACCCUAAAAAUAAAUUCCUCUGGGAUUUUUUUUGUGCGAAAAUCCAUCUGCCCUCACUGCAGGUUCAUCAUUACAAAAAUCACUGUUUAGCUCAAACCAAGAGACAGAGAAGUCAUCAUGAUCUCUCCUUUCUGUCUCCUUCCUGUAGCAGCUGUGCUUCCCCUCUCUGGUAUGUACACACGCACACACCUUCUUUAUGCCAGGAGCUUUUCCAGAUCUUCACUACAAAAUGGGAAGUCUGGAGAAGGGAAGCUCAUGCCUAUCAGAUGUUGGGAGAGGAAGCAGAUGAGACUUAUAUUUACUUAUUUAUAUCUAGUACGCACUCCAGUGAUCCACAAAGUCAUCUUUGGGCCUAAAUCCCUUGUUAUUCUACCAAUAGGUUAAGCAGAUUUGGAUAUUCCUAAUUUUGGUUCCAAAUAAACAGGCAGUGUUUACCUAGCUUCAAAGUUUGGAGAAUUUUUCUGUGAACAUUUUGAUAUUUUUCAAAUAUGGGGACAAUUGAAUUGACAAUUGAAGACAUAGGAUAGAAAACCCUUAAAAGUGAUAAAAAUUAAUUUGGUGCUUCUGAAUUGAAAUUCAGAUCUGAAUACUAUUUGUUGUAUUGUUAAAUGUCUAUUACUGGCUAAACUUUUCUAUUUUCCUCUAAUUACAUGAAGGUGCCAACUAAAUUUAAUAUUAGAAACAACUAUGAAUUUUAACUAACUCAUACAUAAGAUUAUAGAAAUGUUGCUUAUCAAACAGUACCAAAGGGCACUUCUGCAUAAACUAGAUAACUGCCAGGGCCUACACCCUUCCCCUUUUCAAUCGGGACUAUCACACUCUCCCCUUUCUCAAUCAAGGGACUGUCAGGGAUCAUCAGAAUAACAGAAAACCUAAAGCUACCAACCUCCAAAACACAGAGUUGACAGCCAGGCACAGUGACUCACGCCUGUAAUCCCAGAACUUUGGGAGGCAGAGGCUAGUGGAUCACUUGAGCCCAGGAGUUUGAGACUAGCUUGGGCAACAUAGUGAGACCCUGUCUCUACCAAAGGAAAAAAAAAAAUACAAAAAUUAGCCAGGCAUGGUGGUGCAUGCCAGUAGUCCCAGCUACUAGAACGGCUGAGGUGGGAGGACUGCCUGAACCAGGGCAGUCAAAGCUGAAGUGAUCAGUGACCGCACCACUGCACUCCAGCUGGGUGACACAGCGAGACUCUGUCUUAAAAAAAGACAAGCCAGGUGCGGUGGCUUACGCCUGUAAUCCCCGCACUUUGGGAAGUUGAGGCAAGAGGAUUGCUUGAGGCCAAGAGUUCAAGACCAGCCUAGGCAACAUAGCAAGACCACAUCCCUACAAAAGUUAAUAUAUACAAAAUACACAGUUCAUAUAAAAUAGACCAUGAAAUAUAACUCAUUUUGACUGGUCAAGCCUUCCUCUGCCCAGUCACAGAUACACUUGAAAAAUUCACAAAAAGCAGCUUAUAAAGAAAACCCAUAACCAC
rnacentral:lncRNA from 1 species